AACAGUUAAUAUACGUUAACAUUCAUGAAACAUAACAGGCAUAUAAUAGCAAAUCGAUAUGAUACAAACAAAGGGACAUAAGGAAUUUUAAGAACAAACUUCUUUGGUCUUACGCUGUAAAUGUUUAGUGCACCAUCUACCAUUAGAAUCUCUUUCAAUGAUACAAGUAGGCCAAAAUAAGGGAUCUGGUCGAACACUGACUAUACUAGUAGCACCACGACGGUUCAUUUGCUUAACCUGAACAAAAGUAUCAGUAGGCUUCUCUAACAACAUAUGGUAGAAAUCGUCAAAAGUGUUAAUAUCGUGACCAUCUACUGCAACUAUCCAAUGCGCUGCACGAAGCAUAUUCAAAGCUGGCGAGCCAUAUAAUAUGCUGCCGACGUAAACCCCUUCAGGUCCAGGAAGAUCAACAUCAGGCUCAACUUGCUCGAAAACGCUUGAAUGCGUUGGGUGAAUGAUAGCACCCAUCCAGCAAAUUGCACGAGAACUAAAAGUGGGAUAUUCGGGAUACAAGGGAAUUGUUAUUUCCAUUUCAAUUCCAUCGCGAAGGAUGACCGCCUUUAUUUCACUCUCGGUUUCAAACUCAUGAAGGUCCGAUAGACGAGUAAUCAUCUUUCCAUUAACCUCCAACAGAAUAUCACCGACUCCAAGAGACGUUUUGUGAAGUAGUGGGCGCAAAUGAGAAAUCACAUAUAAAGGUCGAGGGAUGGUACCGUUUUCUCUGGAUUUCAUAUAAAAUUCAGACGAUCUGGUUUGGGAUAAUCCAAGUGUAGAAGCACCUGCCAAAGUGAUAUGUGACCAUUCCACCCCAGCUGUUGUUGGCACAUGCUGCGCACGAGCUGACGGUGGUAACUUAAGCCUUUCGAGAACGGGAAGAAUGUAAGACAUUGAAAGACCAUAUUUAGUGGUAUAGUCUUUUCCACCAACAUCUUGGUGAACAACAGAUAUCCAGAGUGCUACUAUUUCGCGAUCGUCGCCUACUUCUCGAAACACUAAACCUCCAGUAGAAGCUAAGGAAUCCAUUAAAGAAAUGACUUCGCAAUUUACGUACCGGAAUCUAGGUGGAGAAGAGCGUUCUGUUUCAACAACAGAUACACUUCGCACUGUUGUUUUCUUUGUCAGCAAUUGCAAAUCUUCGUCGAGAGCAGCCAGCGUGCAUUCAUCUCCUGUCCGCAGGAAAUCAGCGACGAAGUUAAGUUGCACAGAGUUACUGGGCAAGUAAUCGCACGAGACUACAGCAAUUCUAUUGUCCAAAAAAGUUAAAUGACCCAUGGCGCUCAUCGACUGGAAGGUCAAGCGAAUAUCGCAAAUAUCAACAGGUAUAACAGAACGAUCGACAACUAUUAAUGGUGGCACUACAGAAACAAUUACUCCGGUACCACUGUAUAGCUUAGUAGAGCUGAAUCCGUUGAUGCUAUAUGGCAUUCGACAAUGAACCAGAACCAAUGCAUUUUGAAUCGCUUCCAUACUUUUGGAUCCCUCUUGUGGUCUCGGAAUUACACUAGGUCGGCGAGAAAUAGACGGCUGAGGAGGAGGGAGACUUUGUCUGUCCCAUGUCCCUUUUUCAUCAUUCCUUGAAAAGAUGCUAGCCAGGAAAAAGUGUCUAUCAACUGUCACUAUCGUGAAUUCUUCUUCAUAUUUACCAAGGACUCUAAAGUGCAUAGGCACUCUGGCAUUAUCCGUCAACUGGACCAAAACAUCAAUGAAAGCAUCCAAAGUUGGAGUGGGUUUAUUGGCAAGUCUGGUAACUAAAAAAUCGCGGGUUCCAGAGGACCAAUUGAGCAUACCAGAAGAAGCCACAUAUGUACCAGAAUUUAAAGAAAAUUGGUAUGAACGAGCAAGCUGAUAAGACAAAUCGUGAAGCACCGCGCCUCCGACUUCCAAGAAGCGUGAAGGCGUUACGUUAUGCAAGUCUUGUACAGUCAGUUGAAACGUUAAAAAACCACGUUUAGGACGAUAAACAUGCAGCUCAAUCGUUUUACCGACCAUUUCAUCUAAAACUUCGAAUAAAGAGACAAAAUCAACAAUGUAUGUAGACUUAUGAGAGUCUGUUUUGAAAGCAAUUAAUAUAUCGCCAGGUUCCAAAGCCUUAGAGACUUCAGAAUUUCUGAGAACUCGCGAAACAACCAAAAGACCAGUACUACUAGGAACACGGGUUCUACAAUCGUAUUCAAAUUCCCUUGGAAGGCCAAUGCGACUGAGUUCGUCGUAUGACCAAUGUAAAAACUCGGUAAGAAGAGUACCACGAGUAAUAGGAGUAUUGUUCUCAAUACAUCGCAAAGCUCGAACAACCCGGUCCAGAGGAAGAUAAAAAGAAGAGGCACUGCUGUUGGAUCCUCCCGAGUUUAAAGCAACGGCGGCACCAGAGAUGUCAAGAACAGGACUGCCAGAGCUGCCUCCACUAGUUCCACUAGCUGCCUGAUAAUAAAAUGUAUUAAAAUCGUUGUAGUUGUCAAUUCCGUAGUUUGGAGCUGGACGAUCAAGACGAGCCAAAGUGGAGCUUAAAAUAGACAAUUUUUCACCAGCAUCGUUACCAAUAAUUCGAAUAUCUAUACCUACCUUGGCUGAUUCAGGGGAAAGUGAAAUUUCAGUGACAUCGUGGAAUCGAAUGGAAGAUGGAUCAUAACGAAAGAAGCCAAAGUCAUGAACAGGAUCUCUGUAGAUGGGAUAAAUAUCAAUUUCUUCAUAGUUUAUGAAAGAGGCACGAGCUGAAAUGGGUCCUGGAGAAACAACGUGUCUGUUGGAUAAGAUAAGACCAAGUGUUUUAUUCACGACAAAGCCAGUUGCGCAAAAACUACCGGCGCUUUCAGUAUCAAAAGAGCGUAAUGCGGAGCCUUUAAUGGAAACGAUACUUCGAACAACAUUUUUAAUCGUAUUAUCCCAUGUAUGGUGAAUCUCUUUGGUAUCUAGAUAACGUUCUUCAUCUGUAUUGCGAAUGGGAAAUGGUUCGCUAACAUUGUAUAAACCUUCAGCAAUAACAUUCUGUUGCUGGGGCGUAUUACAUUCAGAAGUAAUUUUAUCAGGACGAAAUUUGGGUAGGAAAAUGUGAUUAGGCCGAUAAUCGGAGGAAACUGGAGUCAUGAUGAAAGGUAGAAACCGACAAGAAUGUAAACAAAAGCACAAGAUACAGAAAUUUAUAACAAACACAAAGAAAAAGCGGUUGAACACUAGGUAUACUUUUGAAUCUCGAUAGUGUUUAACAGGCUUUGCUUUGUAAACUGGACAAGCUUUAAUUGGAAGAAUAAACGAAUUUAAAUAACAAAUGAAAGUUUAUAAUAACUUUUGGGCAACACAAGCAAAGUUCUAAACGAGCCGCGAAAUACUAAUUAUCAAGGCCAAAUAAAACUCGAAAAGUCAAUCAAGUACUGACACUUGUAAGCCUUUUUUGUAGGAUAAAUGGAGAACACUAUAUAGCGACAAAGAUCUGUUUUCAGUUAUACAAACAUACAACAAUGUCUGUUUGCAAGGAAUUACAAAUCAAUUGCGCAAUGGCUAUCAGAUGGAUAUAUGAAGGAAUUCCU